rnacentral:rRNA from 1 species
GGCGGACGGGUGAGUAAUGCUUAGGAAUCUGCCUAUUAGUGGGGGACAACGUUCCGAAAGGGACGCUAAUACCGCAUACGUCCUACGGGAGAAAGCAGGGGAUCUUCGGACCUUGCGCUAAUAGAUGAGCCUAAGUCGGAUUAGCUAGUUGGUGGGGUAAAGGCCUACCAAGGCGACGAUCUGUAGCGGGUCUGAGAGGAUGAUCCGCCACACUGGGACUGAGACACGGCCCAGACUCCUACGGGAGGCAGCAGUGGGGAAUAUUGGACAAUGGGGGGAACCCUGAUCCAGCCAUGCCGCGUGUGUGAAGAAGGCCUUUUGGUUGUAAAGCACUUUAAGCGAGGAGGAGGCUUACCUGGUUAAUACCUGGGAUAAGUGGACGUUACUCGCAGAAUAAGCACCGGCUAACUCUGUGCCAGCAGCCGCGGUAAUACAGAGGGUGCAAGCGUUAAUCGGAUUUACUGGGCGUAAAGCGCGCGUAGGUGGCUAAUUAAGUCAAAUGUGAAAUCCCCGAGCUUAACUUGGGAAUUGCAUUCGAUACUGGUUAGCUAGAGUAUGGGAGAGGAUGGUAGAAUUCCAGGUGUAGCGGUGAAAUGCGUAGAGAUCUGGAGGAAUACCGAUGGCGAAGGCAGCCAUCUGGCCUAAUACUGACACUGAGGUGCGAAAGCAUGGGGAGCAAACAGGAUUAGAUACCCUGGUAGUCCAUGCCGUAAACGAUGUCUACUAGCCGUUGGGGCCCUUGAGGCUUUAGUGGCGCAGCUAACGCGAUAAGUAGACCGCCUGGGGAGUACGGUCGCAAGACUAAAACUCAAAUGAAUUGACGGGGGCCCGCACAAGCGGUGGAGCAUGUGGUUUAAUUCGAUGCAACGCGAAGAACCUUACCUGGCCUUGACAUACAGAGAACUUUCCAGAGAUGGAUUGGUGCCUUCGGGAACUCUGAUACAGGUGCUGCAUGGCUGUCGUCAGCUCGUGUCGUGAGAUGUUGGGUUAAGUCCCGCAACGAGCGCAACCCUUUUCCUUAUUUGCCAGCACUUCGGGUGGGAACUUUAAGGAUACUGCCAGUGACAAACUGGAGGAAGGCGGGGACGACGUCAAGUCAUCAUGGCCCUUACGGCCAGGGCUACACACGUGCUACAAUGGUCGGUACAAAGGGUUGCUACUGCGCGAGCAGAUGCUAAUCUCAAAAAGCCGAUCGUAGUCCGGAUCGCAGUCUGCAACUCGACUGCGUGAAGUCGGAAUCGCUAGUAAUCG